GACGAACGCUGGCGGCGUGCUUAACACAUGCAAGUCGAACGGAAAGGCCCUGCUUGCCGGGUACUCGAGUGGCGAACGGGUGAGUAACACGUGGGUGAUCUGCCCUGCACUUCGGGAUAAGCUUGGGAAACUGGGUCUAAUACCGGAUAGGAGCCAUCUUUAGUGUGGUGGUUGGAAAGUUUUUUCGGUGUAGGAUGAGCUCGCGGCCUAUCAGCUUGUUGGUGGGGUAAUGGCCUACCAAGGCGGCGACGGGUAGCCGGCCUGAGAGGGUGUACGGCCACAGUGGGACUGAGAUACGGCCCAGACUCCUACGGGAGGCAGCAGUGGGGAAUAUUGCACAAUGGGCGCAAGCCUGAUGCAGCGACGCCGCGUGGGGGAUGAAGGCCUUCGGGUUGUAAACUCCUUUCGCUAGGGACGAAGCUUUUUUGUGACGGUACCUAGAGAAGAAGCACCGGCUAACUACGUG
rnacentral:rRNA from 1 species